rfam:Acremonium chrysogenum ATCC 11550 scaffold137, whole genome shotgun sequence.
ACAUACGACCAUAGCCCUUAGAGAACUCGGGAUCCCGUCAGCUCUCCACCAGAUAAGCUAAGGAGCGGCUGAUUAGUACCUAGGUCGGUGACGACUAGGGAAUACCAGCUGUUGUAUGUU